CCUUGGUGAAUAAAACCUCACCAAUUCCCUUCUGUGCCCCUGUGAUGAACUUAAAAGGAACUUCCCUGACCGGGAAUCAAAUCCAGGCUGUGGCGGUGAGAGUGCUGAAUCCUAACCACUAGACCACCAGGAAGGUGAUAUGGUUUGUUUUUUAUAAAUCCAGGUUGGCUGUUUGUGAUCAGCCUUUCCUUUUCCAGAUACUUACAAAUGGCUUUCCCUAGGAUAUGCUCCCGUAACUUUCCAGGCUGUAGCUCCCCAGGUCCUCCUUUUUGCCUUUUUUUAUAGAGGAGCACUAUGUUGACCCUUUCCCAGUCCUCUGGUACCAGGCCUGUCUCCCACAGCUUCAUAAAUAUCAUUGCCAAGGGCUCUGAGAUCUCUUUUACCAGUUCCUUCACUAUCCUGGGAUGAAGUUCAUCUGGCCCUGCUGACUUGAAUUCAUUCAAAUCUAUCCAUUAGUCUAUUAGUUUACAUUUAACAGCCAGUGUGGAAGAUUAAUUUCAGUAUAUGCAUAACAUGAACAUGUGUGCUUUGAUUAAAGAGAGAGAAAAGAAUUCUACAAUGAGGUGAACAAACCAUGUAGUUAAUUAAAACAAAAUAGCUUAAUGCUAAGUUUCAAUGUAAUUCAUUCAUACAUCAAAAAUUCAAUAUUCCAGGGUGGUCAAUCACUGAAACUUACCUCCUCUUACAUAUAUGCAGUGCUUUUAACUUUAUGGAUCAGAGUAAAAUCCCAUUAUCCUUGUCUUUAGAUACUACCUAUAUCAAUUAAGGGUGUGUCAGAAAAGGGAUAUUUCAGACCUGCAUAUCAAAAGCCUCUUCCCCAAGAUAUGGCUUCCUUUCUUUAGAGAAUAUAUUUCCUCUUGUCUCUCAUGAAUACCCAGCCCGGUGCUUUGUAGAAACAUUCUGCCAUUCAUAAAUCCAAUCUUUACCCCACUAUUUGAAUGAUGGUUUAUUGAUGAGUGAUUUCAUGAGAUUAGUAGCUGAGACCAAUUUUAUUUCAAUAAAUUAAACAUCAAAUCUCAUUCAUAAUUCUUUCUUCCUUUUUCAGGAAGGCAGGAGGCCAACACUGAAUGGACAAAGUAGCUGGUAUCACAAACUACUUUCUUGCUUCAUUAGAUGACUUUUCAGCCAAGCACAAAGUACUCCAUGUGAGAAGGAUCCUUCAGAUGUCGCCUUGGAGAAGAAACAACUGUGCCAGGCUAUGUAACAGACAUGUCACUGAUUGUCCUGCAGGGUUGGACUCCUACCACUCCCGGGGCUUCAGAGGGCCAGUUCUGUGAGACAACUGCAAACAAAGGAACCUCAGGCUCCCUCAUUUGGAAGGUGCUCCCUUGGGGCACACAUGCUGAAAAUUAUGCAUGCAACAAUAGGUGGUAAUAUACGUAUUGCCCCAACUCAGGUGCACCUCAGAAAUGGGAGAUCCCCAGGUUCUCCUGUUUGCACAUGUGCACCCUGAGUCAGGGCAUGGCAGUGCUAUAUGUGCACAUAUCCAGUGCCUGCCUCUGUAAAUGGGAGAACCAAGGGAGGCACUCCCAGGGCCCCAGAAGCCCAAUCUUGCAUGCCCCUGAAAGGGAAUUCCUAAGGUGUACAAGACUGGGUCCCUGAAGCCCUGGAAACACUUGUCUGGUGUAGCUGAAGCUCCAGGCUGCCUGUGGCUUCCUGCUAUAAAGCAAACAGAUAUCUGGUGCAAAAAAAAAGCACAAUUUUUUACCACUUGUUGCCAUGGCCAGAACUUUGGGCAUUUGUGUGUGACAAGGAACAUGGAUAUCUGUUUGCUUAGGUUUUGCUCAACUGUAAAAAUGUUUAUGGCAGCACAAAGAUAAUGUCUGUUUGCAGUCUUAUUUUCAUCUUAAAAAAAUACUCUGCUCUUUGCAGUAUGCAGCGUAUGUAGACAGGACAGGAAAAGUGUUUUCUUUUCAUGGCCAUCUUACAUAGAGACAAUAUAAAUAUCUUACUACCUUAUGUAGCGCUAUUAUGAUAUUUUCACUUUAACUGUACAUCCUCACUCUGUUUUAAGUUCUUGUGUGCCUAGGAUGUGUGAGUUUAAUAAACCGUCAAUAAAAUAUA